GGGCAACUGUUAAGAUUCCUAAUUAUCUACCUUCCGUUAACAGCUAAUAUUAGAUAGUGUUCGUGCAUGUCAGCUACCACUUUGAGAACGCACACUAAAAUGGAGAGAGAAAUUCAUCGAAAACGGAAGUUGGAUAACAGGAAGUAAUAUAUCUGCAAAAUGAGUCAUCAAGAAGAGUUAGAGAAAAAGAAAUAUAGAAACUGGGUGAGAGGUGGACUGGCGUAUAAAUAUCUUAAAGAAGGUAUCAAAGGUUUUGCUGAUAAUGUGGUUCAAGAAGAACGUAGGAGAAUUAAUCAGGAUGUCAUAUCCAGACGUAGCUGUAAUCAGUGCAGCAUUAGAAACCUGCGACCAUUGCAUACUUGUAAAAAGGACCAUGCCGGCAAAAACAAAUGUCCAUGGGGCCAGAACAGCUGUAACUGUCUGUAUACAAAGAAAAAACAAUGUCCUAAUAAAGUAUGCGACGCUAUUAUGGAAGAAAUUCUGAAAAAUCACGGAUCGACGCCGCCUUCACCAAACUGGAAAAAUACAGAUAUACAGAAAUGGUGUUCGGAUCCAUGGGAGAUUGCAAACUGUUUCAUCAAUGCGCCAGGAUAUUCUGACAAGUCUAGGGCAGAUGAUAUUGACAUUUCAGGGCUACUUCAUGUUUUAUCAACAAUAUCAGUCACAAAACACAUUUGUCCGACAAUAUAAACAGUGGCGAUAUAUUUCAGAAGACACUACAAAGAAGAAAUGAAUUAUUCCAUUCACCGACCAUGGAAAUGGAAGACUCCAAGCUGGAUGAAUGUAUAGAUGAAAUCAUAACAAUUCUUGAGGACCAAAAAGAAUUGAAAGCAAUGCAUGAUGCUCAAGAAGCAGUCUUCAAACUU